rnacentral:SRP_RNA from 1 species
GGCGGGCCUCCCCGCAUUGCAGCGUGCGAACCGGGUCAGGUGGGGAACCAAGCAGCCCUAAGCAUCUCCUGCGAGUGCCGGGGUUCAGGCUCGCCACU